UUAGCUUCAAGCUUCAGCGGAAUCUUGGCUGGCUGCAGAGCGCUAUUUUAGAAGGAUUGUUCAUCAAUAAUUUGAAAGCCUUGCUUCCGCAUCUUCUGACUCACGGUUGUUGCGGGUUUGGAGGUGUAGAAGACCCAAUACCGAAGUGGUUGGUGGAUUCUUCUUCUGUGGUUUGGGAGAGCCGUGAGACAAGGCAACCCCGGACAGGGUUGGAAUGCCUCUGAGGAGAUCCCGAGAGACCCUGUCAUGCCCUGGCAAAGAUGCAGUCUCUAAUCAGUGAUUGUGAUUUAACAUAGUUUCCAAGAAGUGCCAAGUUAUGGAGCAAGCCUUCACUGCACGGACUUUUGGGGAAAGUUGACGAUACAAAUAAUACCUCUGGGAAAUCGCUUCACCACAAAGCAGCUGAGUGGGCCAUUUGUUGGACUGUGUUGAGUUGACAGCAGCAAUGGGCUAGAAGAACCAUGAGGAUUCCCUUUGUUGCGCUGGUGUUCCGUCACACCUUUUCUUCUACCAGUUGAUCUUCACUUAACUGAUUUCUCUUGCAGUCUGGCACCUGACAUUUCCAGAGAAUGAGGAGACAGAGGUGUACAGCAGCACCUUGUCUCUCAGAAGCUGUGUUAUGUUAAUCAAGGCAAGUUCUGAGCUUUAGUCUAAGUUUAGUUUUGCUGGAAAGUGUGACAAAUU